rnacentral:rRNA from 1 species
UACGUAGGCAGCGAGCGUUGUUCGGAGUUACUGGGCGUAAAGCGUGCGUAGGCGGUCUUGUAAGUUUGGUGUGAAAUCUCCCGGCUCAACUGGGAGGGUGCGCCGAAAACUGCAAGGCUGGAGUAUGGGAGAGGUAGGCGGAAUUCCUGGUGUAGCGGUGAAAUGCGUAGAUAUCAGGAGGAACACCUGUGGUGUAGACGGCUUACUGGACCAUGACUGACGCUGAGGCACGAAAGCGUGGGGAGCAAACAGG